rnacentral:rRNA from 1 species
UACGAGGGGGGCAAGUGUUGUUCGGAAUUACUGGGCGUAAAGCGCGCGCAGGCGGCCUCGCGCGCCCGACGUGAAAGCCCCCGGCUUAACCGGGGAGGGUCGUUGGGGACGGCGGGGCUUGAGGGCGGGAGAGGUCGGUGGAAUUCCCGGUGUAGUGGUGAAAUGCGUAGAGAUCGGGAGGAACACCUGUGGCGAAGGCGGCCGACUGGGCCGACCCUGACGCUGAGGCGCGAAGGCGUGGGGAGCGAACGGG